GAUGAACGCUGGCGGCGUGCCUAAUACAUGCAAGUCGAGCGAACAGACGAGGAGCUUUCUCCUCUGACGUUAGCGGCUGACGGGUGAGUAACACGUGGAUAACCUACCUAUAAGACUGGGAUAACUUCGGGAAACCGGAGCUAAUACCGGAUAAUAUAUUGAACCGCAUGGUUCAAUAGUGAAAGACGGUUUUGCUGUCACUUAUAGAUGGAUCCGCGCCGCAUUAGCUAGUUGGUAAGGUAACGGCUUACCAAGGCAACGAUGCGUAGCCGACCUGAGAGGGUGAUCGGCCACACUGGAACUGAGACACGGUCCAGACUCCGACGGGAGGCAGCAGUAGGGAAUAUUCCGCAAUGGGCGAAAGCCUGACGGAGCAACGCCGCGUGAGUGAUGAAGGUCUUCGGAUCGUAAAACUCUGUUAUUAGGGAAGAACAAAUGUGUAAGUAACUAUGCACGUCUUGACGGUACCUAAUCAGAAAGCCACGGCUAACUACGUG
rnacentral:rRNA from 1 species